UCCAUUGUUAAACUCCUGGGUCUAUACCAGUGGCAUCCAAGAGUCACCAUUGCCCUGGCAAUGUUCCUGCUUCUCCUCCAGAAUUCCUUCUGUCUGUCCAUCAUCCACAGUGGGACCAGAGACUAGGAUUUCAUCAACCUAAAUCAUACAAUGUAACUUUUCCUGCUUAAAAUGGCCACAUCAAGCCUUUGAGGUUUUAUAUGAUAUGGCUUGGCUCCUGCCUACCUCCCAGGACUUGUAUUUUUCUCCUGCUGACUCGUGACCUUCUUCUAACUUAAAAGCUAGUGUUCCUAACUGGCAUUUCCAGGAUGGGGGAAGAUGUAGUUCCCACCCCUUGCUACCUUAGCUUGGCUUCGUCAGCAUUAGACGGGGGGACAGCUCUUCUCAGGAGUCAUCAUCAGAUAGACCCAGGUACCCUCAGAAGGUGCAAAAGUUUCAAAUGUUGUCAUCAGUUCCCAUGGAUUCAGGCCGACGGAGUCUGGCCUCUGCUCUAGAAAGUUCCAUACCCACAUGGCUCAGUUUCAGAGACGCCACUAUUUUGUCCGUUUGGAAAUUUAGAACAAGCCCUAAUUCUAGGACUCUGCCUUGUGUUCACGGCACACCUCAAGCUAAAUUUAUAUUUUCAUGACUAGGCUUCCUUUCCUGGACUCCGUCUCGUCUCCAAAUUGUCAGUGGUUUCUGCUCUUCUCAUCUGAGUGGCCACAUGAUUAUGGGAACUUCCAAGAGGCCGAACAAUUUUACAUUCUAACCAGCAAUGACUAAGGAUGGGCUUGGGCCGAUCCUAAGAACAUCGCACAAAAGUGUUGAUAUCAAUAAGUGAAUCAUUAAAAGACAUUCACACGAUAAGGAAGAGCAUCAGUUCAGAAUCGCGAAGUGAGAUAAAAUUAUCCCCUUCUUCUCGAUUGAACAGACCGUGAUAGUUAAUUAUGAGUCAGUUCUAAAAAGUUCUGAAGGCAGCGUGUCGGGGCAUCCACACAGAUUAUCUGUGGUAGGCACAGACUUUGAAGUAGUCACACCUCAGCUGUUCGGAUCCACUCUUUCUUCGCCUGGGAUCUGCUUAGCCCCACAGCCGCCCUUUCUGCUGAUGGUGAAAACCUCUUAACCCCGUCAUUGAAAGAAAUUAAAACUUGUAAUUCCCCUCAGA